rnacentral:lncRNA from 1 species
GUUGAGGUAUCCAACAAGAAAGGAAAGUAUCUUUUGAGGUCAUUUGCUUCCCUUGUUUUUGAGGUAUCCAUUUGCUUUAACUUUUUGUGUUUGCCAGCUUUGUCAGAGUUUCAGUUUUUAGAGUUUUGGGUAAAUUUAGAGGAGAGGGGUCUUUAAGAAAUUAUUCAAAUAGUUUUCAAUAAUUCAUGUUUGAUUAUUGUAUGUUUUUUAAUAAAGCAAUCACUUCAAUAAAUAUUUAAAAAUAUAGAUAUUGAGUAAAUGAAAUAUGAAUUCUAAAUAUAAG